rnacentral:rRNA from 1 species
UACGUAGGGGGCUAGCGUUGUCCGGAAUCAUUGGGCGUAAAGAGCGUGUAGGCGGCCCGGUAAGUCCGCUGUGAAAGUCGGGGGCUCAACCCUCGAAUGCCGGUGGAUACUGUCGGGCUAGAGUGCGGAAGAGGCGAGUGGAAUUCCUGGUGUAGCGGUGAAAUGCGCAGAUAUCAGGAGGAACACCGAUUGCGAAGGCAGCUCGCCGGGACGUCACUGACGCUGAGACGCAAAAGCGUGGGGAGCAAACAGG